rnacentral:lncRNA from 1 species
AGCGGAAAACCUAGCCCCAGAAGGACUCCGUGUUCUCCGGAACUACAUUUCCCAGAGGCCGCCGCCCGAAGACAGACAGCAGCGUUAGCCCAUAAAAUGGGAGAAUAUCUCAGGCGCCUAUUCGUUUCAGACGAAUCAUUGAUGACUUUUCUACCAGCUGGGUAAGUGGGGCGGGGUCGCGAACCGCAGCCACAACUCGCGCACCUGGGAGGGUGUGGGUCUUGCCUCCCAGGGGAGGUGGAGAUCUCUCGCCCUGCGCGGCCCUGGUGGUAUGAGCGAGAGGGGUCUUUACAAAAAUUUUUUGUUUUGUUUUGUUUUUUAUUUUUUAUUUAUUUAUUUAUUUUGAAGCGGAGUCUCGCUCUGUCGCCCAGGCUGGAGUGCAGUGGCGCGAUCUCGGCUCACUGCAACUUCCGCCUCCCGGGUGCGAGCAGUUCUCUGCCUCAGCCUCCCGAGUAGCUGGGAUUACAAGGCACCCACCACCACUCCCGGCUGAUUUUUUUUUUUUUUUUUGUAUUUUUAGUAGCGACGGCGUUUCACCAUUUUGGCCAGGCUGGUCUUGAGCUCCUGACCUCAUGAUCCACCUGCCUUGGCCUCCCAAAGUGCUGGGAUUACAGGCGCGAGCCACCGCGCCCGGCCUUUGUUUUGUUUUUAAUAGAGACGAGGUCUAACUAUGUUGCCCAGGCUGGUUUUGAACUCGUGGGCCUCUCAAAGUGCUGGGAUUAUAGGCAUGAGCUGCCACGCCAGUUUAUAAAGUAUUUUCACUUAGGGCCGAGGGCAGCUGUUUAACCCUGUUAGUCCCUAUUUAUCCUUACUAUGCAGAUGAAUAUAUCGAGACAGCUUGGGACUGAGGUCUCUGCCCUUACGAAGCUGGGACUCCAGUUAAGGUUUUCUGCCACUUAAAGUGCUUUUCUCUGGCAUGGUUGGUAGCUGUGGUAAUGCUUUACCACUCUGUUCCUCCCCCCCUCACUUACCACUCACACAAUUCCUCAUUUCCUGCUUGCACAGUCCUGGGUCAUUCGAGAUUAAUACCAUUGACUUUCAUUCAACAGUUGGGGAGCAAUUCGGGCCAAGCACCAGGCAGCGAGUGUGCUGUGGUGGGAGAAAAAAAAAGGAGACACUCCUUCCUCUUAAGGAAUGCAAUGCAGCGGAGGGUGCAUUUUCUAAAACGCUGCCACGGAGUUAUGUGCAACCCAAAUAACUACAAUGCAGUGCUAUUAAAUGCUUUGCGAAAUGCUACGUGCUAAAUGGAGGUGUGUUCAAAGGAAAUGACUUGAUAGAAAUACCAGGGACGGACCGGUGCAGUGGCUCACGCCUGUAAUCCCAGCACUUUGGGAUGCCAAGGCGGGCCGGUCACUUGAGGUCAGGAGUUCGAGACCA